GCCUUAGUGGUGUAUUGGGCAUCACGUUUGCCUUGUAACCGAGAGGUCCGUGGUUCGAUUCCCGGCGAAGGCU
rnacentral:tRNA from 1 species